rnacentral:rRNA from 1 species
CCUACGGGUGGCAGCCGUGGGGAAUAUUGGGCAAUGGGCGCAAGCCUGACCCAGCCACGCCGCGUGAAGGAAGAAGGCUUUCGGGUUGUAAACUUCUUUUCUCAGGGACGAAGAAAGUGACGGUACCUGAGGAAUAAGCCACGGCUAACUACGUGCCAGCCGCCGCGGUAAUACGUGGGUGGCAAGCGUUAUCCGGAUUUAUUGGGUGUAAAGGGCGUGUAGGCGGGAGCGCAAGUCAGAUGUGAAAACGCAGGGCGCAACCCUGGGCCUGCAUUUGAUAAUGUGUGUCGUGAGUGCUGGAGAGGCAAGCGGAAUUCCGGGUGUAGCGGUGAAAUGCGUAGAUAUACGGAGGAACACCAGUGGCGAAGGCGGAUUGCUGGACAGUAACUGACGCUGAGGCGCGAAAGCGUGGGGAGCAAACAGGAUUAGAUACCCUUGUAGUC